rnacentral:rRNA from 1 species
CGGUAGCCCAGAGGUGGGGGAUAACGCAGCGAAAGCUGUGCUAAUACCGCAUGUGAUCUGAGGAUGAAAGCGGGGGACCAAGCAGCAAUGUUUGGCCUCGCGCCUCUGGAGCGGCCGAUGUCAGAUUAGGUAGUUGGUGGGGUAAAGGCCUACCAAGCCGACGAUCUGUAGCUGGUCUGAGAGGACGACCAGCCACACUGGGACUGAGACACGGCCCAG